rnacentral:snoRNA from 1 species
AGACCGUGAUGAGGACACUUUCGCAAUAGCUCCUUGAACCUUUCCCAAGUUUCAUAUAAGGAUUCCCCGUCCUCUUGUGAAUAGGUAAUAAUUUUGUAGGACCGAGUUU